CCCGGAGUAGUUCAGUUGGUAGAACAUGAGACUUAUAUUCUUAGAGUCGUGGGUUCAAAUCCCACCUCUGGUU